rnacentral:rRNA from 1 species
UACGGGGGGGGCAAGCGUUGUUCGGAAUUACUGGGCGUAAAGGGCUCGUAGGCGGCCAACUAAGUCAGACGUGAAAUCCCUCGGCUUAACCGGGGAACUGCGUCUGAUACUGGAUGGCUUGAGUUUGGGAGAGGGAUGCGGAAUUCCAGGUGUAGCGGUGAAAUGCGUAGAUAUCUGGAGGAACACCAAUGGCGAAGGCAGCUCGCUGGGACGGUUACUGACGCUGAGACGCGAAAGCGUGGGGAGCAAACAGG